CUCAUCCUCCCUCUGACUUUCUAAGCAUUCUGGGUAAUCUGGACUCAGAACCUUCUGGAUCUUCUUUAGCUCAUUUUUCACAAAAGUGCUGAUUUUCUGCU